CGAGUGGGACGGACGGUCGCGCACUCAGGUGUGAGGAAAGUCCGGGCUCCCAAGGGCAUGAUGCCGGCUAACAGCCGGGCGAAGCAAUUCGACGGAAAGCGCCACAGAAAAGAAAACUCCCUUUCGUUUAUCGAAGGAGAAAAGCUGAAACGGUGCGGUAAGAGCGCACCAGCACGCCGGUAACGACGUGGCUUGGCAAGCCCCAUCAGGAGCAAACGCAAAUAGGAACACGAUAGGCUCGCCCUUGCCUGUGUUCGGGUUGCGCGCUGGAGUUUAUCGGUAACGAUAAAUCGAGAUAAAUGGCCGUCUUAAACGACAGAACCCGGCUUACAGUUCCACUCGCAUG
rnacentral:RNase_P_RNA from 1 species